CAAACUCCUACGGGAGGCAGCAGUGGGGAAUCUUCCGCAAUGGACGAAAGUCUGACGGAGCAACGCCGCGUGAGUGAUGAAGGUCUUCGGAUUGUUAAAGCUCUGUUAAUCGGGUACGAAAGAGUUCUGUGUGAAUAAUGCAGAUAUAAGUGACGGUACCGGAAUAGUAAGCCACGGCUAGACUACGUGCCAGCAGCCGCGGUAAUACGUAGGUGGCAAGCGUUGUCCGGAAUUAUUGGGCGUAAAGCGCGCGCAGGCGGCCUAUCCAGUCUGUCUUAAAAGUUCGGGGCUCAACCCCGUGAUGGGAUGGAAACUAGUAGGCUAGAGUAUCGGAGAGGAAAGCUGGAAUUCCUAGUGUAUGCGGUGAAAUGCGUAGAUAUUAGGAAGAACACCAGUGGCGAAGGCGGCUUUCUGGACGAAAACUGACGCUGAGGCGCGAAAGCCAGGGGAGCGAACGGGAUUAGAUACCCCGGUAGUCCUGGCCGUAAACGAUGGGUACUAGGUGUAGGAGGUAUCGACCCCUUCUGUGCCGGAGUUAACGCAAUAAGUACCCCGCCUGGGGAGUACGGUCGCCAAGGCUGAAACUCAAAUGAAUGACGG
rnacentral:rRNA from 2 species